CCUCAAAAGUAACUCCACAAAGCAGCAGGAGAUAGGGAGAAAACUGAAGAAGGAGGAAGCAUGGAAAGAAGCAGACUGUUGUUGCCCUGCACCUCAUGUGCCGUUUACACCACUGCAAAGUGAAAGACUUUUCAGGCACAGUUGCCCAUUUUAUGUGCAGAAAUGCCAAGUUUGACACAUUAACCCACAAAUUUUGUACACGCAGUUAAAAAGCCCCACUGAAAAUGUGGCCGAUCACAUAUAGCAGCUUCAGUGGUAGGGGGAAGCCCAUCCACUGAAAGAAGAAAGAACAGUCUAUUCACACACACAUCGCCCCUAAGCAGCUCCAAGGCCCAAGAGGAAGGGGGCCAAUAUUUUCUCCCUCCAGACAAAGGGGCUGGAAGUGCGGCUGCCAACAUUUCCUGCGCUUUUCUCCACACCUAUGCAGGCCACAAAGUUACUUAAAAAAAUGAAAGCUAUGAUUUUCACAUACCAUGGCUCCAGGAGCUGCAAUAUUAAAGAAAACCACCAAAUUUUGAGAGACUUGAGAGCUGGCCAUGCUGGGGGAGCUCAGAAGAGAGGAAGUGACUGAGCAGCUGAAAGGGAGAAUUUCCAGAUGGGACUGCACAGCUUUACACCUUGGACAUGACCACACACCCCAGCAUUAGGAACAUAGGCUUGGGAUCAGCAAAUGGGACAAGCACAGGGAGAGAACAUCACCCACCCCUAGUCCCUAAAGGGAAUCUGCGCAAAAGAUAUUAUGACUCCAGGCUGUAUUAGCUUCUUCACAGAGACGCUCCAUGCUGUGGAACCCUCCUCUUCACACACACACACAGAAGAAUGCUGGGAACCACAGCCGCUUCCACGGUUCCAAAGUCCUGCUUGAAUUUCCAGGCUAGUGCAUCCAUGCUAUGACACAUCACGUCGAAGGAGAUCAGUCACAGGGGUAGCUAAUGUGACUGCUAUCACGGUUUAGCGUGGUGACCCUUAAGUGCAGAAAUUCAACAAGGCAUUUUCCCCCAGAGCGUGAAAACCACAAAAGCAAAGGAUGAAAACAAAAACGGCCACCUUCUAGUGUUCAAAUAUAAGUAUGAAAACAAUGUUCUUAUUUCAAAGACAGUGUUAGGCCUUGUCUACGCUACACAGUUUUGUUGACAAAUGUCAGCUUUUGUUGGCAAAACAGCGGAGGUGUACACACUGAAAUGCUCCUCCCGCCUAUAUAACUCCCCUCCUGUGCUGACAUCAUAAAACCAUCUCAAUGAGAGGCAUAGGGCUUAUGGCCGUGUAGUCAGGGUGAUGCAGUGUCUCUGUAAACACUGUGUUCCUUGCAGUGGCUGUUAGCUGUCAUCCUUGUCAAGAAAGCCGACUCAUGGGCUGCUGCCUGGGCUCCGCUCCAAGCCGGGCAGCCACCCAGGCUCCUGGCUUGGACUGGUGCCCAGGUUCACCAUUGUCCGGAGUGAGCCCUGCACUCCCACAGCAUCCCAGCUCCCCCUCAGGAGCACAGCAGUUGACUGGACUCCAGGUGCAGAUCUCCCCCUCGGAGACAAGCCCCCCCUGCUCCCAGCUGGGAGGUUGAAGGCAAGAAAAGCCCCAAGGGGCAGCUGGGCUCCAGGUAGAGAGCUGAAUGGAGCUAAGAGCCCUGGCUCUCAGUCCACCACCCUGCCCCUCUUCAGUCGGGCAGCACUCCUAGUAAGGAGACACACCACCGACAGGAGGGCAAAGUGGACAUCAGCCAAUGCAGUAAUUAAUGUGGCUGUAAGGCAACCUAACAUAGAUCGACUUAUCUUUGUAGUGUAGACAGAGCCUUAAAUGUCUGUUGCACCCCUCUUGAA